rnacentral:lncRNA from 1 species
CAUGGAGUAUCCCUUUUUCCUCCAGCUAAUAUAGUCUAUAGUCCAGUAUGAGAUAGAUAUAUUAUUAUAUUUUCUAUCUAUAAAGGAGCAGAAACACAGAUAUUAAAAGAGAAAGACAAGUCCAUUUAUUCAACAACAAAAGAAGUCCAUAGAUGAAUUGAGAACCCAACAAACUGCUACAAAUUAGGCUGCUGCUGACCUGACCUCCUGGGGGAGACAGCCAGGAUUCGCAGGAAUCACAGGAGAACCACUAUACAACAGAAAACACAUUCAACCAAGCAGGUAGAGGAGACGUCCCGCAGAUGAGAGGUCGCUGAGCCAGAGAGGGAAGUGGGGAUCCUUGUAGAGUAGUGGUCAGUAUGGGUGGGGGUCCUUGUAGAGUAGUGGUCAGUAUGGGUGGGGGUCCUUGUAGAGUAGUGGUCAGUAUGGGUCCUUGUAGAGUAGUGGUCAGUAUGGGUAGGUAUCAUUGUAGAUAGUGGUCAGUAUGGGUGGGGAUCCGUGUAGAGUAGUGGUCAGUAUGGGUGGGGGUCCUUGUAGAGUAUUGGUCAGUAUGGGUAGGGGUCCUUGUAGAGUAGUGGCUCAGAGGUCCUUGUAGAGUAGUGGUCAUUAUGGUAGUGGAGGUCCUUGUAGAGUAGUGGUCAGAUAGUGGUGUAGGAGUCCUUGUAGAGUAGUGGUCAGUAUGAGGGUCUUGGUAGAGUAGUGGUCAGUAGGGUGGGGGUCCGUGUAGAGUAGUGGUCAGUAUGGGUAGGGUCCUUGUAGAGUAGUGGUCAUUGGGUAAGGAUCCUUGUAGAGUAGUGGUCAGUAUGGGUGGGAUGUGUAGAGAGUGGUUCAGUAGGUGGGGUCCUUGUAGAGUAGUGGGCAGUAUGGGUAGGUCCUAGGUAGAGUAUGGUCAGUAUGGGUAGGUCCUUGUAAGUAGUGGUCCAGUAUGAGGGGGGUCCUUGUAGAGUAGUGGUCAGUAUGGGUUAGGGGGUUAGUAAGAAGUAGUGGUCAGGUAUGGGUAGGGUCCUGUAGAGUAGUGGUCAGUAUGGGUGGGUCCGUGUAGAGUAGUGGUCAAUGGGUAGGGUCCUUGGUAGAGUAGUGGGGUCAUGUAGGUAGGGUCCUUGUAGAGUAGUGGUCAGUAUAGUAGAUGGGUAGGGUGACUUGUAGAGUAGUGGUCAGUAUGGGUGGGGUCCUUGGAGAGUAGUGGUCAGUAUGGGUGGGGUCCUUGUAGAGUAGUGGGUCAGUAAUGGGUGGGGGCCUUGUAAGAGUGGUCAGUAGGGUGGGUCCUUGUA